rnacentral:rRNA from 1 species
UAGGGAAUCUUCGGCAAUGGGGGGAACCCUGACCGAGCAACGCCGCGUGAGUGAAGAAGGUUUUCGGAUCGUAAAGCUCUGUUGUUAAGGAAGAACGAGUGUGAGAAUGGAAAGUUCAUGCUGUGACGGUACUUAACCAGAAAGGGACGGCUAACUACGUGCCAGCAGCCGCGGUAAUACGUAGGUCCCGAGCGUUGUCAGGAUUUAUUGGGCGUAAAGCGAGCGCAGGCGGUUAGAAAAGUCUGAAGUGAAAGGCAGUGGCUCAACCAUUGUAGGCUUUGGAAACUGUUUAACUUGAGUGCAGAAGGGGAGAGUGGAAUUCCAUGUGUAGCAGUGAAAUGCGUAGAUAUAUGGAGGAACACCGGUGGCGAAAGCGGCUCUCUGGUCUGUAACUGACGCUGAGGCUCGAAAGCGUGGGGAGCGAACAGG